AUUGAACGCUGGCGGCAGGCUUAACACAUGCAAGUCGAGCGGAGAUGAGGUGCUUGCACCUUAUCUUAGCGGCGGACGGGUGAGUAAUGCUUAGGAAUCUGCCUAUUAGUGGGGGACAACAUUCCGAAAGGAAUGCUAAUACCGCAUACGCCCUACGGGGGAAAGCAGGGGAUCUUCGGACCUUGCGCUAAUAGAUGAGCCUAAGUCGGAUUAGCUAGUUGGUGGGGUAAAGGCCUACCAAGGCGACGAUCUGUAGCGGGUCCGAGAGGAUGAUCCACCACACUGGGACUGAGACACGACCCAGACUACUACGGACGGCAGCAGUGGGGAAGAUUGGACAAUGGGCGGAAGCCGGAUCCAGCCAUGCCGCGUGUGUGAAGAAGGCCUUUUGGUUGUAAAGCACUUUAAGCGAGGAGGAGGCUACCUGGAUUAAUACUCUAGGAUAGUGGACGUUACUCGCAGAAUAAGCACCGGCUAACUCUGUGCCAGCCGCCGCAGUAAUAC
rnacentral:rRNA from 1 species